rnacentral:rRNA from 1 species
GACGAACGCUGGCGGCGUGCCUAAUACAUGCAAGUAGAACGCAGCUGCGAACGGGUGAGUAACGCGUAGGUAACUGCCUCUUAGCGGGGGAUAACUAUUGGAAACGAUAGCUAAUCCCGCAUACUGUGAGAUGGACCUGCGUUGUAUUAGCUAGUUGGUGAGGUAAAGGCUCACCAAGGCGACGAUACAUAGCCGACCUGAGAGGGUGUGGGGCAACGCUGGUGCUGGGUGUCGGCCCAGACUCCUACGGGAGGCAGCAGUAAGGAAUCUUCGGCAAUGGGCUGAAGUCUGACCGUACAACACCGCGUGAGUGGAGAAGGUUUUCGGAUCGUAAAGCUCUGUUGUUGGAGAAACGGUAACUAACCAGAAAGGGACGGCUAACUACGUGCCAGCAGCCGCGGUAAUUG